rnacentral:rRNA from 1 species
GAAACGAUCGCUAAUACCGCAUGACAUAGCGGAAUCGCAUGGUUCUGUUAUCAAAGAUUUUAUCGCUGAUAGAUGGGCUCGCGUCCGAUUAGAUAGUUGGUGGGGUAACGGCCUACCAAGUCGACGAUCGGUAGCCGGACUGAGAGGUCGAACGGCCACAUUGGGACUGAGACACGGCCCAGACUCCUACGGGAGGCAGCAGUGGGGGAUAUUGCACAAUGGGGGAAACCCUGAUGCAGCGACGCCGCGUGAGGGAAGACGGUCCUCUGGAUUGUAAACCUCUGUCUUCGGGGACGAAACGAGACGGUACCCGAGGAGGAAGCCACGGCUAACUACGUGCCAGCAGCCGCGGUAAUACGUAGGUGGCAAGCGUUGUCCGGAAUUACUGGGUGUAAAGGGAGCGUAGGCGGGCAGGCAAGUCAGGCGUGAAAUAUAUCGGCUCAACCGGUAACGGCGCUUGAAACUGCAGGUCUUGAGUGAAGUAGAGGUUGGCGGAAUUCCUAGUGUAGCGGUGAAAUGCGUAGAUAUUAGGAGGAACACCAGUGGCGAAGGCGGCCAACUGGGCUUUUACUGACGCUGAGGCUCGAAAGUGUGGGGAGCAAACAGGAUUAGAUACCCUGGUAGUCCACACCGUAAACGAUGAUUACUAGGUGUGGGGGGACUGACCCCUUCCGUGCC